GAUAAUGAAGUAAAAAAUUUACAUUUAGUUUCGACCUAAAUUAUGGAAUCAUUUUCCCUUAUCU
rnacentral:tRNA from 1 species